AAAGGGAGCGUAGGCGGGUCGUUAAGUUGGGGGUGAAAUCCCGGGGCUCAACCUCGGAACUGCCUUCGAUACUGGCGACCUUGAGUAUGGGAGAGGUGAGUGGAACUCCGAGUGUAGAGGUGAAAUUCGUAGAUAUUCGGAAGAACACCAGUGGCGAAGGCGACUCACUGGCCCAUUACUGACGCUGAGGCUCGAAAGCGUGGGGAGCAAACAGGAUUAGAUACCCUAGU
rnacentral:rRNA from 1 species